rnacentral:rRNA from 1 species
UACGUAGGGGGCAAGCGUUGGUCCGGAAUCAUUGGGCGUAAGAAGCGUGUAGGCGGCCCGGUCAGUCCGCCGUGAAAGUCCAGGGCUCAACCCUGGAAUGCCGGUGGAUACUGCCGGGCUGGAGUCCGGAAGAGGCGAGUGGAAUUCCUGGUGUAGCGGUGAAAUGCGCAGAUAUCAGGAGGAACACCGAUGGCGAAGGCAGCUCGCUGGGACGGUACUGACGCUGAGACGCGAAAGCGUGGGGAGCAAACAGG